AUUUGCAUGUAAAAAUUAAACUAGUUGCUUAAAUUAAAAAAAUUGUUUUAGGGAUGAAGAGAAAAGAUUUGAAGAAAACGCAGAGAAGAUAAUGAGAUUAGAACAGCGAAUAUUAUGUCUGCAAAACGCAAAUAACCUAAACAGUUGUGCCACAUGCAGACCUCUGCGAAAACACGUGAUGAAAAUAGAACGUCAGCUGACUAGCCUGGUUCAAUAGAUAUAUGAAAUUUAUU